rnacentral:rRNA from 1 species
GUUGGGUAGGGGAGCGUUCUGUAAGCCUGCGAAGGUGGCCUGUGAGGGUUGCUGGAGGUAUCAGAAGUGCGAAUGCUGACAUAAGUAACGAUAAAGCGGGUGAAAAGCCCGCUCGCCGGAAGAGCAAGGGUUCCUGUCCAACGUUAAUCGGGGCAGGGUGAGUCGACCCCUAAGGCGAGGCCGAAAGGCGUAGUCGAUGGGAAACGGGUUAAUAUUCCCGUACUUGGUGUUACUGCGAAGGGGGGACGGAGAAGGCUAUGUUGGCCGGGCGACGGUUGUCCCGGUUUAAGCGUGUAGGUGUGUGUUCCAGGUAAAUCCGGUUCACUUUAACACUGAGGCGUGACGACGAGGCACUACGGUGCUGAAGCAACAAAUGCCCUGCUUCCAGGAAAAGCCUCUAAGCAUCAGGUAACAUCAAAUCGUACCCCAAACCGACACAGGUGGUCAGGUAGAGAAUACCAAGGCGCUUGAGAGAACUCGGGUGAAGGAACUAGGCAAAAUGGUGCCGUAACUUCGGGAGAAGGCACGCUGACACGUAGGUGAAGUGAUUUACUCACGGAGCUGAAGUCAGUCGAAGAUACCAGCUGGCUGCAACUGUUUAUUAAAAACACAGCACUGUGCAAACACGAAAGUGGACGUAUACGGUGUGACGCCUGCCCGGUGCCGGAAGGUUAAUUGAUGGGGUCAGCGCAAGCGAAGCUCCUGAUCGAAGCCCCGGUAAACGGCGGCCGUAACUAUAACGGUCCUAAGGUAGCGAAAUUCCUUGUCGGGUAAGUUCCGACCUGCACGAAUGGCGUAAUGAUGGCCAGGCUGUCUCCACCCGAGACUCAGUGAAAUUGAACUCGCUGUGAAGAUGCAGUGUACCCGCGGCAAGACGGAAAGACCCCGUGAACCUUUACUAUAGCUUGACACUGAACAUUGAGCCUUGAUGUGUAGGAUAGGUGGGAGGCUUUGAAGUGUGGACGCCAGUCUGCAUGGAGCCGACCUUGAAAUACCACCCUUUAAUGUUUGAUGUUCUAACGUGGACCCGUGAUCCGGGUUGCGGACAGUGUCUGGUGGGUAGUUUGACUGGGGCGGUCUCCUCCUAAAGAGUAACGGAGGAGCACGAAGGUUGGCUAAUCCUGGUCGGACAUCAGGAGGUUAGUGCAAUGGCAUAAGCCAGCUUGACUGCGAGCGUGACGGCGCGAGCAGGUGCGAAAGCAGGUCAUAGUGAUCCGGUGGUUCUGAAUGGAAGGGCCAUCGCUCAACGGAUAAAAGGUACUCCGGGGAUAACAGGCUGAUACCGCCCAAGAGUUCAUAUCGACGGCGGUGUUUGGCACCUCGAUGUCGGCUCAUCACAUCCUGGGGCUGAAGUAGGUCCCAAGGGUAUGGCUGUUCGCCAUUUAAAGUGGUACGCGAGCUGGGUUUAGAACGUCGUGAGACAGUUCGGUCCCUAUCUGCCGUGGGCGCUGGAGAACUGAGGGGGGCUGCUCCUAGUACGAGAGGACCGGAGUGGACGCAUCACUGGUGUUCGGGUUGUCAUGCCAAUGGCACUGCCCGGUAGCUAAAUGCGGAAGAGAUAAGUGCUGAAAGCAUCUAAGCACGAAACUUGCCCCGAGAUGAGUUCUCCCUGAGACUUAGAGUCUCCUGAAGGAACGUUGAAGACGACGACGUUGAUAGGCCGGGUGUGUAAGCGCAGCGAUGCGUUGAGCUAACCGGUACUAAUGAACCGUGAGGCUUAACCUUACAACGCCGAAG